rnacentral:rRNA from 1 species
GACGAACGCUGGCGGCGUGCCUAAUACAUGCAAGUCGAACGCAUUUUCUUUCACCGUAGCUUGCUACACCGAAAGAAAAUGAGUGGCGAACGGGUGAGUAACACGUGGGUAACCUGCCCAUCAGCGGGGGAUAACACUUGGAAACAGGUGCUAAUACCGCAUAAUUCCAUUUACCGCAUGGUAGAUGGAUGAAAGGCGCUUUUGCGUCACUGAUGGAUGGACCCGCGGUGCAUUAGCUAGUUGGUGGGGUAACGGCCUACCAAGGCUGCGAUGCAUAGCCGACCUGAGAGGGUGAUCGGCCACACUGGGACUGAGACACGGCCCAGACUCCUACGGGAGGCAGCAGUAGGGAAUCUUCGGCAAUGGACACAAGUCUGAACGAGCAACGCCGCGUGAGUGAAGAAGGUUUUCGGAUCGUAAAACUCUGUUGUUAGAGAAGAACAAGGAUGAGAGUGGAAAGUUCAUCCCUUGACGGUAGCUAACCAGAAAGCCACGGCUAACUACGUG